UCAAUGGAAGCUCCAUUGUGCCUCUCGAUC
rnacentral:piRNA from 1 species